rnacentral:rRNA from 1 species
GACGAAGGAUGCAAGCGUUAUCCGGAUUCAUUGGGUUUAAAGGGAGCGUAGGUGGCCUUAUAAGUCAGUGGUGAAAUCUCGCAGCUUAACUGUGAAAUUGCCAUUGAUACUGUAGGGCUUGAGUACAGAUGCCGUUGGCGGAAUAUGACAUGUAGUGGUGAAAUACAUAGAGAUGUCAUAGAACACCGAUUGCGAAGGCAGCUGACGAAACUGUAACUGACACUGAGGCUCGAAAGUGCGGGGAUCA